rnacentral:rRNA from 1 species
UACGUAGGUGACAAGCGUUGUCCGGAUUUACUGGGCGUAAAGAGCGCGCAGGCGGUCGUUCAAGUCGAGUGUGAAAGCCCCCGGCUCAACUGGGGAGGGUCAUUCGAUACUGAUCGACUGGAAGGCAGGAGAGGGUAGUGGAAUUCCUGGUGUAGCGGUGAAAUGCGCAGAUAUCAGGAGGAACACCGGUGGCGAAGGCGGGUCUCUGGGCCGAUACUGACGCUGAGGAGCGAAAGCGUGGGGAGCGAACAGG